UUACGGCCACAUCACACUGAAAGAUCGGUUCCCGUAAGAUCCCCGAAGUUAAACAACACCGAGCCUGGUCAGUACCUAUAUGGGUAACCGAUUGAGAAUACUAGAUACUGUAA